GGGGAUGACGUCAAGUCAUCAUGGCCCUUACGACCAGGGCUACACACGUACUACAAUGGUGGGGACAGAGGGCUGCAAUCCCGCGAGGGUGAGCCAAUCCCAGAAACCCCAUCUCAGUCCGGAUUGGAGUCUGCAACUCGACUCCAUGAAGUCGGAAUCGCUAGUAAUCGCAGAUCAGCAUUGCUGCGGUGAAUACGUUCCCGGG
rnacentral:rRNA from 14 species